rnacentral:rRNA from 1 species
UACGUAGGGUGCGAGCGUUGUCCGGAAUUACUGGGCGUAAAGAGCUCGUAGGUGGUUUGUCGCGUUGUUCGUGAAAUCCCACGGCUUAACUGUGGGCGUGCGGGCGAUACGGGCAGACUGGAGUACUGCAGGGGAGACUGGAAUUCCUGGUGUAGCGGCGGAAUGCGCAGAUAUCAGGAGGAACACCGGUGGCGAAGGCGGGUCUCUGGGCCGAUAUUGACGCUGAGGAGCGAAAGCGUGGGGAGCGAACAGG